AUUGAACGCUGGCGGCAGGCCUAACACAUGCAAGUCGAGCGGAUGAAGGGAGCUUGCUCCUGGAUUCAGCGGCGGACGGGUGAGUAAUGCCUAGGAAUCUGCCUGGGAGUGGGGGAUAACGUCCGGAAACGGGCGCUAAUACCGCAUACGUCCUGAGGGAGAAAGUGGGGGAUCUUCGGACCUCACGCUAUCAGAUGAGCCUAGGUCGGAUUAGCUAGUUGGUGGGGUAAAGGCCUACCAAGGCGACGAUCCGUAACUGGUCUGAGAGGAAGAUCAGUCACACUGGAACUGAGACACGGUCCAAACUCCUACGGGAGGCAGCGGUGGGGAAUAUUGGACAAUGAGCGGAAGCCUGAUCCAGCCAUGCCGCGUGUGUGAAGAAGGUCUUCGGAUUGUAAAGCACUUUAAGUUGGGAGGAAGGGCAGUAAGUUAAUACCUUGCUGUUUUGACGUUACCAACAGAAUAAGCACCGGCUAACUUCGUG
rnacentral:rRNA from 1 species